AAACAAUCAAAACUUUCAACGGAUCUCUUGGCUGUGGCAUCGAUGAAGAACGCAGCGAAAUGCGAUAACUAAUGUGAAUUGCAGAAUUCAGUGAAUCAUCGAGUCUUUGAACGCACAUUGCGCCCGCUGGUAUUCCGGCGGGCAUGCCUGUCCGAGCGUCAUUU
rnacentral:rRNA from 1 species